AGUCGAACGCGAAAGGUUCCUUCGGGAACCGAGUAGAGUGGCGUCCGGGUGAGUAACACGUGGGUAAUCUACCUUCGGGUGGGGAAUAACGUCUCGAAAGAGACGCUAAUACCGCAUAAUGCAGCGGCACCUAAUGGUGACAGUUGUUAAAGCGGGGGAUCGCAAGACCUCGCGCCUGAAGAGGAGCCCGCGGCGGAUUAGCUAGUUGGCAGGGUAACGGCCUACCAAGGCGACGAUCCGUAGCCGGCCUGAGAGGGCGGUCGGCCACACUGGCACUGACACACGGGCCAGACUCCUACGGGAGGCAGCAGUCGGGAAUUUUGGGCAAUGGGCGAAAGCCUGACCCAGCAACGCCGCGUGAAGGAUGAAGCUUUUCGGAGUGUAAACUUCAUAAGAAUGGGACGAAUAAGGAGGGGUUAACACCCCCUUUGAUGACGGUACCAUUUGUAAGCUCCGGCUAACUCCGUGCCAGCAGCCGCGGUAAUACGGGGGGAGCAAGCGUUGUUCGGAUUUACUGGGCGUAAAGGGCGCGUAGGCGGCGCAACAAGUCACUUGUGAAAUCUCCGGGCUUAACCCGGAGCGGCCAAGUGAUACUGUCGUGCUAGAGUGCGGAAGGGGCUACUGGAAUUCUCGGUGUAGCGGUGAAAUGCGUAGAUAUCGAGAGGAACACCUGCGGCGAAGGCGGGUAGCUGGGCCGACACUGACGCUGAGGCGCGAAAGCCAGGGGAGCGAACGGGAUUAGAUACCCCGGUAGUCCUGGCCUUAAACGAUGGAUACUUGGUGUCCGAGGUUACAUAGUCCUCGGGUG
rnacentral:rRNA from 1 species